UAGGGAAUAUUGGGCAAUGGAGGAAACUCUGACCCAGCAAUGCCGCGUGACUGAAGAAGGUCUUCGGAUUGUAAAGGUCUUUGAUUAGGGAAGAAUACCAUGACGGUACCUAAGGAACAAGCCCCGGCUAACUAUGUGCCAGCAGCCGCGGUAAUACAUAGGGGGCAAGCGUUGUUCGGAUUGAUUGGGCGUAAAGGGUGCGUAGGCGGUUCGGUAAGUUAGAAGUGUAAUACCCAGGGCUUAACUCGGGUGCUGCUUCUAAUACUGCUGGACUUGAGUGUCGGAGAGGAAAAUGGAAUUCCUAGUGUAGCGGUGGAAUGCGUAGAUAUUAGGAGGAACACCAGAGGCGAAGGCGAUUUUCUGGACGAUAACUGACGCUGAGGCACGAAAGCGUGGGGAGCAAACAGG
rnacentral:rRNA from 1 species